GAUGAACGCUAGCUACAGGCUUAACACAUGCAAGUCGAGGGGUAACAAGAGGAAAGCUUGCUUUUCUUGUUGACGACCGGCGCACGGGUGAGUAACGCGUAUCCAACCUGCCUAUAACUAGGGAAUAGCCUUGCGAAAGUAAGACUAAUACCCUAUGAUUUCCUUUGAUGACAUCAGAUUAGGAAUAAAGAUUUAUCGGUUAUAGGUGGGGAUGCGUCUGAUUAGCUUGUUGGCGGGGUAACGGCCCACCAAGGCAACGAGCAGUAGGGGUUCUGAGAGGAAGGUCCCCCACAUUGGAACUGAGACACGGUCCAAACUCCUACGGGAGGCAGCAGUGAGGAAUAUUGGUCAAUGGGCGGAAGCCUGAACCAGCCAUGUAGCGUGCAGGAUGACGGCCCUAUGGGUUGUAAACUGCUUUUAUACAGGAAUAAAGUUAGCCACGUGUGGUUAUUUGUAGGUACUGUAUGAAUAAGGACCGGCUAAUUCCGUGCCAGCCGCCGCAGUAA
rnacentral:rRNA from 1 species